ACACCGGCGUGCUCGCAAGAGGCGGGAAAGCGUUAGGGAGAGACGCGGGUCGCAGGGUCCCUCCCUCUGCCUGCCCUAUCUACCCGCCUGCCCAGCGAGCCUGUCCAUCUUCAGCGCCCAGGCCCUAGGGGAGGGGACGAGAAAGGCCCCGCGCUUCUGACUCAUCAUCUCCAACCCCUUUCUCGCGCGCGCUCCAAGUCUCAGGACUUCGGACCUGGGCCCUCCUGCGAGGGGGUGCGGCGACAGCAUCUGGGAAGCCCCAGCUCUGCCAAGCGUCAGCUCCGAGCCCUCGCCAGUCUCUGAAGCUGCCAGCGCAGGGCUGGGGACCCAGAUCCAGCUCUCUAUUGCAGUGGCUGGGGGAGCGGCACGCCAGUGCAGGACCGCCCGCCCGGCUCCUCCCCGAACGCGGGGCCAGUGGUCGCGUCCGAGAAAGCGCCAGGCUAGGCCCCGACUUCCCCGCCUCGCGUCACUCAGCACAUCCAACAGCGCCCCUACCGCGGAGAGAAGGCUCUUUAUUUCCUAGCCGGUCACGGGCUAGCGGGGCAUCCUGGGACUUGUAGUCUCCGCUACAGUAGAAAGGAGAUGGAUCGAAAGGGGAACUGGGGCACUCCUGAAUUGGAUUCAGGGAGUUGGCGUGUGCAGGGUCCGGGAUUUGGAGUGGAUGGGAUUAUGAAAGGUGGACAGAAAAGAAAAGUGCGAUGAGGCAAAUGUGAAGCUGUAUGGGGAGGUGACAGGAAGAGAGGAUAUGGAUGCAAGGGAGAAAGCAGCUUUUCAGGGUGGUGAGGUGAGGAUAUAUUCUCGUCCAGGUGUAUCUUCCCCUAACAGGGAAGGAACGAAAAAAGGGCCUGCUUUGAGUGAAAACUGAAGGCACUCCCGGACUUCCUAUUGGACUCGAAGGAUCCCAGCAAGCUUCUGAGUUUGGUGGGGUGGGAUGCAGGAAUGUCUGGAGAGCAUUCUCUCAGGGUGGAAGGAGAGCAGCACGUGUCUGUUCCCGCUGUCCCACCCUCUCAUUUGCUCCUGUGCUGGCCACCGUGGGACCAUUCUCCAAACCAGGAACCUCUUCCAACUCAGAGAAGCCCUGAAAACCAGAGACAGGUGUGAGCAAAUUGUAGAGGUGAGAAAGGAGAAACCCCAGACAGAAACAACUGCUUCCUCCUGCCCAAUUUUCUAUCCUGUUUCCCAUAGUCCUGCCAAUAUUUAGGCAGCUUCCUAAUGCUUUCCCACUCUUUUAACCUCAAUCAUUUGGAUUCCCAGUUUCCUCUUACCCACCAUUAGGGGAGAAAUGUUCAAAGCCAGAGAAAGCCAAUCAGUUUCAUUCUAGGACCUCUUCUUUUCUCUCCUGCCCCAUUAUUUUCCCUUAAGUGCCACUGACCAGGAUAGGCAGUGGAAAAAUUAGUUGGCAGCUAGCUAUUCGUGCUUUCUUCCCUGCCCCCAUACCUCCUGCAGCUCUUGAUAGUGCAGACUCUGGCUCCUGCAGCAUCCUGGUUUCCUCUGGCUCAGCAAGAAUAGGGCGUGCACUGAGACCAGCACUCCCCCUAGGGUGAAGGCCUCAGCACUGAGUUCCAGCACCAGCAAGCCAGCAUGCUGCAGGUAGACAGGGCUGAGAAUGCAGGGACCCCGCACCUGUUUGCCCCUGCCCUUUUCCCUUCCCACCUCCUCUUGCCUCCUUAUCCUCCCACCUUCUCCUUCAUUGACCAGUACCUGGGAGGAGGCAGUUGGGGCAGGCCCCAAGGCUGUCUUCAUCACCUCGACCACCACCACUAUGAAACCCAAGAUCAAGUUGAAGGUGUUGAAUAUCAUCAUGGCCCGCACCUGCCAGUGAGCCAGCUCAGCCCUGCCCAGCCUAGGGGAGUCAUUCCAACCUCAAUCCCCACUUGCAGCCUAGCUGAAGACAAAACUCAGCUUCUGCUUCUCAGCCUCCAAACAGGGCCAUAAGCCCUCUUAACUUUUUUGCUUUCCUCCUCAGUGAUUGAGGCCAGUCAGUGGUGACAGCUGAGAGAAUGAGUCAACACUUAGCCACUUACUUCCUAGGCUGAGGGUUGUAGGUGUCUGUUUUAGGGAGUGGGAGGACAGUGCUGCGUUUUCUUCCCUCUCACCUUCCAAAGGCGGGGUGCUCUGCGAAGCUCCAGAGUGACAGUCCCAGUGAGGAGACCCUGAAUGGUGAGAAGGGCAAGUGUUGAGCUCUGGUCCCGUUAGGAAGGGGCCCUGGGACCUUCCACCCUCCCUUGUGGUGGGUCUUACUGAGGCUCCAGGCCCAAGAGGCAGCGCUGUGGCCAUGUGACAAUCAGAGUUCAGGCAGGCGACUGAGACAGCAAGGGGCACCACAACCACUGCCAGCCAUAGCUGGCUCACCUGGGGGUAAGGGUAGGGUAAUUGGGGAGGAACUGUCAGGGAUUCCCUCCCUUCUCGUAACUCCUACCUCUUUAGAGAUCAGGAAAUGGGAUUGAAUGCAGGGUGGAGGAAAGCAGUCAACCCAGAGCAAGGACGUGAUCAUUAAAAAUUAAGUAUCAUUU
rnacentral:lncRNA from 1 species